CGCAUCUGUGCAUGCAGCAUAUCAAUAAGCGGAGGAAAAGAAACUAACAAGGAUUCCCUUAGUAACGGCGAGUGAAGCGGGAAGAGCUCAAAUUUGAAAUCUUCAAGGUUUUACCUUGACGAAUUGUAGUUUAAAGAAGUGUUUUCUGUUGAAGUUUUGGUAAAAGUUCUUUGGAAUAGGACAUCAUAGAGGGUGAGAAUCCCGUAUUUGACCAUUAUUUUCAGCUGUGUGAUACACUUUCAAAGAGUCGGAUUGUUUGGGAAUGCAGUCCAAAAUGGGUGGUAAAUUUCAUCUAAAGCUAAAUAUUGGCGAGAGACCGAUAGCGAACAAGUACCGUGAGGGAAAGAUGAAAAGAACUUUGAAAAGAGAGUUAAACAGUACGUGAAAUUGUCAGAAGGGAAGCGUUUGACACCAGUGUUGUUUUCUCGAAAAUCAAUUAAAAAGAGUUUGAUUUUGUUGUGUAUUGACCUUAACAGCUUGCAUUUCAAUUUUCUUGCUUUUUUUAAUGCACUUUUCGUUUAGCAAGUCAACAUCAGUUUCUUUUGUUGUAAAAAGGUCAUUGGAAGGUGGCUUUCUUUUCGGAGAAAGUGUUUAUAGCCUUUGACUCCUGCAAUCGGAGAGACUGAGGUCUGCAGCGUAGAUCCUUCGGGGUUAGAUACAUUUGUGCUAAGUUAUAGCUUUUUAUAGACAACUUGUUGACUAUGAUUAGUCUUGUAGCUUACUCGCUUAUGCUAUUUUACCUACGCUUAGGAUGUUGACACACGCGCGUGCUCG
rnacentral:rRNA from 1 species